GCUGAAAUAGCUCAGUUGUGGGAGCGUUAGCCUAUAGAUCGAGAGGUCCCUGGUUCGAUUCCGAGAUUCGGCA
rnacentral:tRNA from 1 species